CAGCAGCUUGCCUGAAACAUUGGCUAGUGCAUACCAUUCAAAACAUACAGUUAAAAAUAAAUAAAGAGAAAUUUAAAUGGACAGAAACUGGCUUGAAACUAAAACCAUCUUGAAGCUGGCAAAGGUAUUAAACUAUGGCCGAGCCCCACCUAAAUUAGCAAAACUAAAAUAUAUAGGCUUCUUGGUGCUAAUAACAAGUCCCCUGUUGCAUAUGAUAUGGCAGAAAUUCUGAGGUUUCUCAUUGCCUUCUCUUGUAUGGAAUGUGGAACAGAUGAUCUUUGCCAACUCCUUCAAUGUUCUGAGCCAAAAACUUUUCUGCUCUGAAGUAGUUUCUACGUUUUGCUCUGACAGAAUUUCUAAAGAAACAUGCAAAGGAUUUGUUUGUAUGUAUUGAAUCUACUAUUUUCAGGUUAGAAAAACACAUAUACAGUACUAAUGAUGCUGUUUAACCUCAUGAUGCUACCGUUUAACUUCCAACUUCUCCAUAUGGCAUUUAUUGUGGUUACAUGUUUCUCAGGUUUGUGAGAAUUCAAAUACCACGAGUGAAAGCCAUUGGAAGAUCAGAAUUCAAAGCAGAAACAAUAAGAUAAAGAUGGAACAAGUUGCAUGAUAUAAAUGAAUUAUCUCAUCAAUUUUUCCUUAAUCAAUCAAAUACAAAUUCCAGAAUUUUAAACAUUCUGGGAGCAAAACUUUGUUUACCAAUACAUCAAUCAUCAAACAAGCCUCCUUUAAUGCCUGAGGUAUACCUGUUAGUGUUAGUCAAAUUGGUGUUAGGACAGCAUCAUGAGAAAUAACCUCUUGCUUCACUGAUAUCAAAAAUGGAACUGAAAACCACCAUCAAAUCCGCCAAAGCCCCCUGGAAAGCCUCCUUCAAACUGAAAUGUGAAUUGUUGCCCUCCACCACCAAAGGGGUUGAAACCACCACCUCCACCACCCAUUCCCAUUUCUUCUAAGUCUUCUCCUCUAUCAUACCUUGCACGCUUAUCUUCAUCACUAAGAACCUCAUAUGCAGCAGCAACUUUUUGGAACUUGGCUUCUGCUUCUUCUCUAUUAUCAACAUUCUUAUCUGGGUGCCAUUGCAAAGCAAGUUUUUUAUAGGCACGCUUGAUCUCAGAUACAGAGGCAGUCUUUGAUACUCCCAAAAUCUUGUACCAAUCUUGCCGUUUGCUCAUCUUUAAGGCUUUCUCUGCUCGCAUUAAUGUUUCCCGUAUAUUCACGUCCUGAGGUGAUUUCUCAGCUGCUGAUUUGAGAUCUUGAACAGCUCCUUCCCAGUCCUCUAUUAAGAGUUUAGCUUCACCCCUCUGCACUAAAGCUUCAAGUAGAUCCCCAUCAAUGUUAAGUGCUUCAGUGCAGCUAGUCAAAGCAUCUUUGCCCCUACCAAGCUUGACCAAUACCUUACACAAGCCUAGAUGAAGGUGAACAUUAUAUGCAAGAUGAUCAGGGUCCAAUGAAAGAGCUGCUUUAUAGUCCUCUACUGCAACACGCAGCUUGCCCUUAUUUACAUUAUCUUCUGCACUUUUAGUCUUCUUGAGUAAAUUUUUUAAUCCAAAAUAUGCUUUCUUCAGCUCACUGUGUUCUGGAUCGAGACGAAGACCUUUUUGGAAAUGCUUUGAAGCAACAUCAUGAUCCGCUAAAUAGUAGUAGGCACGGCCACGGAGAAAGAAUGCCUCUAGAUUAGUUUCAUCUUCCUUGAGAAUAUAACCUGUUUCAGAGAUGGCAGCAGAAUAGUCUUUAACUGCUAGCAACAAUCUAACUUUUAGAAGUUUAGCCUGCAAUAAAUAAGUCACAUGGUUUCAUUGCACUGAUAGAGUAAGGAAAAAAAGCUCUUGGGAAAUGUUAACGAGCUGCUAAAGGACCAUGUUCAAACAAGAAACGUAGUUAACAACAAAUUACAACUUUAUGAAGUUACAAAUUACAACUUUAUGAAGUUGUACAACUUCUUGACCAUGCAGUUCUUUUAUCAAAAUAUUACAAAGAUUUUACCUUUGAGCAGGCUGGGGAAAAAACAAGUACAACUUUAUCAACAAAUUCCAGAGAUUUUGCAUAAUCGCCUGAAUCAAAUAGAGUAAAAGCUGUAUCUAAAGCACUCUGAGCCUGAAGUAAUUGAGAAAGCUCCUUUUCUGCUGUUUUAUGCCUUGGUUUUAGCUCCAGAAAUUUGGUAUAGCUCUUUUCCGAUUCUUCAUAUCUGCAUAGCUGACGAAGAAUAGAAGCUCGACGAAAAUAUGCUUCUGAUAGUGUUGGAUCUACCUCAAUGGCUGCAUUAAGAUCAUCAAGGGCCUCGCUAUAACGCUUAAACUUUACACUGCGCUCCACCUUUUCAAAUAACUCUGCAACAUUUCCACUUUUACCAUCUGAAGCAGAAACAAGAGGUCGAAGAAGUAAGAGCUGGCAAACGAACACAAAAUGAAGUAUAAAUAGUGUAUACGCCAUUCCUCUCCGUGCCACACCAUCCACCACCAACCCCCACCGCAAUCUCAUCGUAUCCAUUCUCUUCCUCUUCCUCUUCUUCUACCGGUGCAUCAAUAAAGCAGGAAAAUUUUCAUAUAUACAAAUCUGGAUUUCGAGUUUGAAUAAUCUGGGAUUUCGAGUUUGAAUUGGAAAUGUUGGAGGAACUCGAGACUGAAAUCGAUGAGGAUUUUCAAAGAGAAAGGUUGAAGAGGCCUUGUGGAAUGAUUCGCUAUCGAUACACGUAGC
rnacentral:misc_RNA from 1 species